GAUUAAACUCUAGCAAUUGGAGAAGAAGACCUUGAGAUCGACGGAGAUUGAAGGCAAGAAGAACAUGCUAGCAGUCUCAAGCAAGUUCGAGAUAAAAAUCGGCAAGUUCUCCAACAAGUUUUCCGGCACCACCUUCUUAAUUCCUUUGCAGACUGGAAGAGAUGAAGCCACGAGUUGACCAUGUGUCCAUCAUGCACUUCAUUAUUAUCUUAAGUUAUGGGUUUCAUUUGGGCCAAAUUGUUUUCUGAAUAUGUUUGUAACAUUUCCCUUUGGACUUUCGCUUAAUGAAAACGAAUC
rnacentral:lncRNA from 1 species